CAGCUUGCUUCUAUGACGUUAGCGGCGGAGGGUGAGUAACACGUGGGCAACCUGCCUGUAACACUGGGAUAACUUCGUGCAAACCGAAGCUAAUACCGGAUAGGAUCUUCUCCUUCAUGGAAGAUGAUUGAAAGAUGGUUUCGGCUAUCACUUACAGAUGGGCCCGCGGUGCACUAGCUCGUUGGUGAGGUAGCGGCUCACCAUGGCAACGAUGCGUAGCCCACCUGAGAGGGUGAUCGGCCACACUGGGACUGACCACACCGUCCACACUCCUACGGGAGGCAGCAGUAUGGAAUCUUCCGCAAUGGACGAAAGUCUGACGGAGCAAGGCCGCGCGAGUGAUGAAAGCUUUCGGGUCGUAUAACUCUGUUGUUAGGCAACAACAAUUACCAGAGUGACUGCUUGUACCUUGACGGUACCUAAUCUGACUGCCACGGCUAACUACGUGGCAGCGACCGCGGUAAGACCUACGUGGCGCGCGUUAUCCGGAAUUAUGGUGCGUAGAGCGCGCGCACGCCGUUUCUUACGUCUGAUGUGAAAGCCCGCGGCUCAACCGUGGAGGGUCAUUGCAAACUGGGGAACUUGAGU
rnacentral:rRNA from 2 species